rnacentral:rRNA from 1 species
UUAGUCCUCGGGGGGCAGCAGUAGGGAAUCUUCCACAAUGGACGAAAGUCUGAUGGAGCAACGCCGCGUGUGUGAAGAAGGGUUUCGGCUCGUAAAGCUCUGUUGGUAGUGAAGAAAGAUAGAGGGAGUAACUGGCCUUUAUUUGACGGGAAUUACUUAGAAAGUCACGGCUAACUACGUGCCAGCAGCCGCGGUAAUACGUAGGUGGCAAGCGUUGUCCGGGUUUAUUGGGCGUAAAGCGAGUGC